AGCCCGGUCGUCUAGCGGUCAAGGAUGCGGGGCUUUGGACCCCGUGACGCCGGUUCGAAUCCGGCCCGGGCUACCA
rnacentral:tRNA from 1 species